CGUGGUAACUAACAGCUUCUUGCAGUUUCUAGAUCUAGAGUGCUGCACUACCCUUGGUGGCUCCUUAACUCUGUCCACACCUCUACCAGGACCACGUGUUAGAGUUAGCUGGCUGCACUCUUACAGUCCAUUUCCCCUCCAGUCUCUUGCAUGAGGCCCAGUCUGGACUUAGAGCACUCAAGUUCAAACCACACAGAUUUAUUAAGCACUUACUAUGUGCCUGGCCUGGAGACUCAAAGUGGAGUGGACACAGCCUCUUCCAUCCAGGAGCUCACAGUCUACUGGAGGAGGCCAAAAAGAAGAUAGAUCAUUACAAUCCAAGAUGGCACACGAUAUGUUCUCUGAUAGUGGGGGAAUAAAG